CAAUAGCGUAUAUUUAAGUUGUUGCAGUUAAAAAGCUCGUAGUUGGAUUUCGGGUAGGAUUUGCCGGUCCGUCUUUGAGAUGUGUACUGGUAAGUCCUAUCUUCUUGUCGGGGACCAGCUCCUGUGCUUCACUGUCCGGGACUGGGAGCCGACGAAGUUACUUUGAGUAAAUUAGAGUGUUCAAAGCAAGCCUACGCUCUGAAUAUAUUAGCAUGGAAUAACACGAUAGGACUCUGGCUUAUCUUGUUGGUCUGUGAGACCAGAGUAAUGAUUAAGAGGGACAGUCGGGGACAUUCGUAUUUCAUUGUCAGAGGUGAAAUUCUUGGAUUUAUGAAAGACGAACUUCUGCGAAAGCAUUUGUCAAGGAUGUUUUCAUUAA
rnacentral:rRNA from 1 species